GACGAACGCUGGCGGCGUGCUUAACACAUGCAAGUCGAACGGAAAGGCCCUGCUUUUGUGGGGUGCUCGAGUGGCGAACGGGUGAGUAACACGUGAGUAACCUGCCCUUGACUUUGGGAUAACUUCAGGAAACUGGGGCUAAUACCGGAUAGGAGCUCCUGCUGCAUGGUGGGGGUUGGAAAGUUUCGGCGGUUGGGGAUGGACUCGCGGCUUAUCAGCUUGUUGGUGGGGUAGUGGCUUUCCCAGGCUUUGACGGGUAGCCGGCCUGAGAGGGUGACCGGCCACAUUGGGACUGAGAUACGGCCCAGAGUCCUACGGGAGGCAGCAGUGGGGAAUAGUGCACAAUGGGCGGAAGCCUGAUGCAGCAACGCCGCGUGCGGGAUGACGGCCUUCGGGUUGUAAACCGCUUUCGCCUGUGACGAAGCGUGAGUGACGGUAAUGGGUAAAGAAGCACCGGCUAACUACGUG
rnacentral:rRNA from 1 species